rnacentral:tRNA from 1 species
UGCAAUUUGAUGUAAGAUGCAUGAAGAAUUUUGAUUUCUUUUGAUCUAGUUUGAUUCUAGAAUUUGUAU